rnacentral:tRNA from 1 species
GCGGGGGUUACCGAGCCUGGCCAAAGGCGCGAGGUUGAGGGCCUAGUCCCAGAGGGGUUCAGGGGUUCAAAUCCCCUCCCCCGCA